rnacentral:rRNA from 1 species
UUUCCGUAGGUGAACCUGCGGAAGGAUCAUUACUGAGUGAGGGCCCCUCGGGGUCCAACCUCCCACCCGUGUUUAACGAACCUUGUUGCUUCGGCGAGCCCGCCUCACGGCCGCCGGGGGGCAUCUGCCCCCGGGCCCGCGCCCGCCGAAGCCACCUGUGAACUCGUCUGAAGUAUGUAGUCUGAGACAAUUAUUAAAUUAAUUAAAACUUUCAACAACGGAUCUCUUGGUUCCGGCAUCGAUGAAGAACGCAGCGAAAUGCGAUAACUAAUGUGAAUUGCAGAAUUCAGUGAAUCAUCGAGUCUUUGAACGCACAUUGCGCCCUCUGGUAUUCCGGAGGGCAUGCCUGUCCGAGCGUCAUUGCUGCCCUCCAGCACGGUGGGUGUGUUGGGCCCCGUCCCCCUUCCCGGGGGGACGGGCCCGAAAGGCAGCGGCGGCACCGCGUCCGGUCCUCGAGCGUAUGGGGCUUUGUCACCCGCUCUUGUAGGCCCGGCCGGCGUCAGCCGACCCCCUCAAUCUAUUUUUCAGGUUGACCUCGGAUCAGGUAGGGAUACCCGCUGAACUUAA